GAAAUUACUUUUAUAAAGCAGCAGCAUUUCUAUACCAUUCCCCACAACCCCACACUCCUUCAUUUCCUUUCUCUAGUAAUAAAAUUCAGAUCCAGCUGAGGAAACCAGGUAGUGGCAACGGGAGAUCUGCUUAAUCAGACCAGGAGUGAGGAGGAGAAAAGCAAGAGAGGAAAGCCAUGGAAAAGUUUCAUUUUUUGUUGGACCUGCUCAUCAGACACCACAGGGCCAUGUCCAGGAGCUUCUUGAGCCUGCUGACAGCUGCCCUGGUCCUCUUCCUUCUGGGCUACCUGCUGAGCUCUAAGGUAGAGCAGGUGGUGACUGGCUGCUGUGCCGGGGACCAACGAGGCACUCUUAAGAAGACAAAGAUGUUCUGUAAGAAGGUGACAUGCAGUCAAAUGACCUUGGCUGCUCUCCUGGCGCCGUUCAUCUGGAUUGCAAUGGCACUGCUGGAGGGUGGUUAUUUUGUGUGUAUGUGUGGCACCAAAGGAGCUUGUGUUGGGAGCGCAACUGUUUCGAGAUGCCUUGCCAGAACACAAACUUCACAAACUCCGAGAACAUCGUGGCUAUAUCUCAGAUGGUAGGUUGGGUACUGAUAGCUGUUGUUAUGGUUCUGUCCACGAUGAUCAAGUGCCAUAUCUGUUGCACACCUCAAGUUGGUUUUGAUCAGCUCCAGUCCCAGGAAAACUACGAGAAAAAAGAAAAUGAGACAUCAAUUGCUGAAUCAAAGAAGUAUCCUACUGACUUGAUGGAAAGAAAUGUCAAGUGCUUCUCAGAAAAUAUCCACCUAGGCAGUAUGAGAAUUCCAAGCACUGAGAAACUGGAUGAUAUUUCACCAUUGAUUAAGCCUACUGAUACAGAAUAUAGUAUAUUUGAUCCUCAAAACUCUGUUUCUGAUUGCAAUUAAAGGGUUGAAGCAAUUCUCCACAAUACUACACCAAGGAAAUGUCACCAACGAUCCUAAACAUGUGGAUUUAAAGUUGGAAGGGACCUUAUUUCACAAAUUAAGCAACCAAGGCGCAAGGAUUUUGAUUUACAUUUUGUACACAAAUAUUAAUUUUGCUAAUGAACUGGGGCCAAAUCUUAUCAUAAUUUUUCCUUUGGUAAUGAUAUUAUUUUUAUAUUUCAUAGAAUCAUGAAUGUUUCAGUUAGGAGGGACUUUAAGGAAAUGGCAAACCACUCUAGUAUCUUUACCAAGAAAACCCCAAAUGGGGUCACAAAGAGUCAGAUGUGAUUCAACAACAGCAGCACUUAUUUGUUUUGAUGUCGUCUCCUCUUGCCAUCCCACUCUCCACAUUACUCUGUGAACUCUUUUCAAACAGAAACUUUUGGGUUUUGGGGUUUGCCUUUUUGUUUGUUUUUGGUUUUGCCUUUCUUUGUAUCCUCAGCACAUAGUUCCUGGAACAUAGUAGAUGCUUAAUAAAUGCUAGUUGAUGGAUUGACUAACUGAAUGC
rnacentral:lncRNA from 1 species